UGGGCCGGGAUUCAUCUCCUCCAAUUCCUAGAUAUGCCCACACUUCUGACGCAACUUUCUGUGCAUUCAGUAUAAGUUGAAUAGUAAUUUCCUAGAAUUUCACAACCUAAAUAAUCCCAUUUUACACAAUCGUCGAUGUCAACGGUAGCAGAGGCAAUUCACAUAAACCGUGGAAAGCCAUUGGGGCAUACCAAUCUUCUUUAGCCACACAUGUGUCCGAGCACUCGGCUUCAGUGCGAAACGCCCCCUUUGGAAAUACACAUGGUCGAUAGAACUUACACUUAUUAUCCCAAGAGUCAAAUAUCCAAGCAUCAAUAGGGGGACAAGAUGAAUUUUUCUGGACCUCAACUGAUUUAAAGCAUCUUUCUAUUAACAAAAACAUUAUGUGAAAAGAAAAAAUUUAAAUUUUAUGGCGAAUUCAAUUAUUCAGUUACCGUUUUCCUUAAUCCAACGCACUGUGGUUGGUCCCUUAACACAACUGUACUUGCAAUCUGCAUAUGUAAACAUUAAAUAUAAACAUUAAAGCCACAAAUACAUCCGUAAGAAUACCAA